UAGGCCAAAUGCACCCAAACACUUAGUAAUUUUUCUUUUCCUUAUCACCAAAUCACACUCACCUUCGAAUACCCUCACUUUCGCCUUCUGAUCAGAAAAAAGUUUCGCCCCUCACCUUCGCAAAUCACCUUCGAAUUAAUUGUUGAAAACCCUUCCCUAACACACCCACACACUCACACUCAUUCUCACCAUCACUCACCACUGCCACCACGCCCCCCUUUCACACACACACACCCAGAUCCGAGAGAAAGAGUGAACCAGAGGGAGGAGAGGAGGGAGACAGAGAUGAGAGAGCGCGAUCGAGAGAAUAGAGAGUGAGAGGGGGUCACCGCCGCAACGUCGCUGCAGCCGCCGCCAUUGCCGUCGCAGAGCAGGGAGCCCAGAGGGGAGAGAGAGAUGAUUUGCAGACGAGAUGGAGAGAGAGGACGAAGAUGCGACGCAAGAGAGGAGGCUGUUCCGUCGUGCACUGUCGUCGCUCCUGGGGUCGAUUGAAGCCGCCGCCGCAGCUAGGGCUUGCCGUGCUCCUGCAACAAUAUAUUUUAGAAGUUGUAUUGGACUGGAAGAGAGGGAAGGGGAGUGUUUGAACUUUCAAUUUCAUUAAUUUUUGCUGAAUUUCUGUGCCUGUGGGUGAAUACUGGAUUGUGAAGGAUGGUUAGGAUUGUGAAUACAGAAGUUUGGACCUCUUCAUAUAUGGGAACAAUGCUGAUCGAUUCCUGCAUUAGAGCACUAGGUUCCAAAUUGUUCUAGGCGUGGAAAGGGGAUUGCAGUACCUUCAUGAGGAUUCACAUCUAAGAAUUGUUCACCGAGACAUCAAAGCAAGCAACAUUCUUCUUGAUCAUAAGUUUCAUCCCAAGAUUGGAGACUUUGGCCUUGCCAGGUUCUUCCCUGAAGACCAAGCUUAUCUUAGCACACAAUUCGCUGGAACAUUCGCCAAAAGGGCUGUUUUCGCCGGAGCCAGAACAUUAUCGAGGACCAAAGCUAAAAGUUGCCAUCAUUGGAGCUAGGCUUUCUGGCAUGUCAACUACAGUGGAACUCUUAGAUCAAGGACACGAGGUUUAGCUCCUUUAAUCUUUAAUAUCACACUUCCUCCAUUUCAUAUUUUAUAAGUCAUUUUGAUACUUUGAUUUAUGAAUAUAUGUGAAAAGUCAAAGCGACUUAUCAGUAUGGAACGAAGAAAAUGUUAUUUUGAAAUUGGAUGUUAUGGUGUACAUGGUAAACUUGAUUUUUGAAGCAAAGGGGAGUGAUUUGGUCAGUUUCUUAACACAAUUAUGGUGUUAAAUUUAUUAGGAUAUUCUAGCUAAUGCAUUUUAUCUAGUAUGUUUACUUCUAAUUGCUCUCGAUCAGGUGGAUAUAUAUGAGUCGAGGACUUUUAUUGGUGGGAAAGUUGGUUCUGUUGUUGAUAAGAAAAGAAACCAAAUUGAAAUGGGAUUUCUUACAAAUAGAAGUUGGUAAACAGACUUGAUUGAUCCCGUCUUUGAAAUUC